AUUGCUUCUUGGCUUUUUGGCUAAGAUCAAGUGUAGUGUGCAUUUCUAAAUCAUUUAGAGAAAGGCACAUAAAAGGUAUUCAAGGACCAUAUGAAGAUGGAUGCAUAUUGUUCUACUCUCAGCUUUUCAUUAAUUUGCUAAGUGACAGUAGAAAUUACUU
rnacentral:snRNA from 1 species